AACACCUCGAAGGGGGGACCACCGGUCGACGCGGCCAAGCUCUGGUGCGGCCGCCAAGCAGUUGCCGCGAGCUGGCUUUGAUGGAAACGCGAAAUUGAUGUGAAUUCUCCACCGCGGUCGACGGUUGUGCUUUGAUGUUAGCCACGUUUUUGUGUCGGUGUGGAGUGUUGGUUUCUAUAGUGUUGUGUUAAUUUUUGUGGAAAUUAGGAGCGAUCUGCAAUGUCGUAAUUGUGCAGGAUCUGUGUGAAGGAUUGAUUACAAGUUUCUUCCAAGAUAGUCAUCCCAUGUGACCUUGCUGGAGAGAAUCCCAAGGAUAUAGUGCAACAUCC